CCCUCGAUAGCUCAGUUGGUAGAGCGGAGGACUGUAGAGAACAAACUGUCAUCCUUAGGUCGCUGGUUUGAAUCCGGCUCGAAGGA